GAUGAACGCUGGCGGCGUGCCUAAUACAUGCAAGUCGAGCGAACAGACGAGGAGCUUGCUCCUCUGACGUUAGCGGCGGACGGGUGAGUAACACGUGGAUAACCUACCUAUAAGACUGGGAUAACUUCGGGAAACCGGGGCUAAUACCGGAUAAUAUAUUGAACCGCAUGGUUCAAUAGUGAAAGACGGUUUUGCUGUCACCUAUAGAUGGAUCCGCGCCGCAUUAGCUAGUUGGUAAGGUAACGGCUUACCAAGGCGACGAUGCGUAGCCGACCUGAGAGGGUGAUCGGCCACACUGGAACUGAGACACGGUCCAGACUCCUACGGGAGGCAGCAGUAGGGAAUCUUCCGCAAUGGGCGAAAGCCUGACGGAGCAACGCCGCGUGAGUGAUGAAGGUCUUCGGAUCGUAAAACUCUGUUAUUAGGGAAGAACAAAUGUGUAAGUAACUAUGCACGUCUUGACGGUACCUAAUCAGAAAGCCACGGCUAACUACGUG
rnacentral:rRNA from 1 species